rnacentral:misc_RNA from 1 species
GAUGAAGAACGCAGCGAAAUGCGAUAAGUAAUGUGAAUUGCAGAAUUCAGUGAAUCAUCGAAUCUUUGAACGCACAUUGCGCCCGCCAGUAUUCUGGCGGGCAUGCCUGUCUGAGCGUCAUUUCAACCCUCAUGCCCCUAGGGCGUGGUGUUGGGGAUCGGCCAAAGCCCCGAGGGACGGCCGGCCCCUAAAUCUAGUGGCGGACCCGUCGUGGCCUCCUCUGCGAAGUAGUGAUAUUCCGCAUCGGAGAGCGACGAGCCCCUGCCGUUAAACCCCCAACUUUCCAAGGUUGACCUCAGAUCAGGUAGGAAUACCCGCUGAACUUAAGCAUAUCAAUAAGCGGAGGA